GCAGAGUCUUGGUUCUGUCGUUUGCCUUUAAAAGAAGGCAAAAGGAAAGUCCGGGCAGCGUAGAGCGUUUCGCUUUUGAAAGUAAAAGCUACUAGUAAUAGUAGGUUAUGGUAGAAGAAAAUAACCGCCAUCGCAAGGUGGUAAGGGUGAGAAGGUAGUGUAAGAGACUACCAGUUAACGGGUGAUCGUUAAGCUGUGCCAACCGAAAGCUGCAAGUUCGCGUAUACCAUCGUUUGAGAGUUGCUCGCUCGAAUUAUUCCGAUGGAGGGUAGAAUGCUUGAGUUGUGAGGUGACUUACAAUCUAGAUAAAUGACAGAUGCCUUUAUUUUUCGAGAGAAUAUAAAGGAACAGAACCCGGCUUAUAGAGACUCUGUUUUU
rnacentral:RNase_P_RNA from 1 species